UACAGGGGGGGCAAGCGUUGUUCGGAAUUACUGGGCGUAAAGGGCUCGUAGGUGGCCAACUAAGUCAGACGUGAAAUCCCUCAGCUUAACUGGGGAACUGCGUCUGAUACUGGAUGGCUUGAGUUUGGGAGAGGGAUGCGGAAUUCCCGGUGUAGAGGUGAAAUUCGUAGAUAUUGGGAAGAACACCGGUGGCGAAGGCGGCCAUCUGGACCGGCACUGACGCUGAGGCGCGAAAGCGUGGGGAGCAAACAGG
rnacentral:rRNA from 1 species